rnacentral:rRNA from 1 species
GACGAACGCUGGCGGCGUGCUUAACACAUGCAAGUCGAACGGUGAAGGGAUCAGCUUGCUGGUUCUGGAUGAGUGGCGAACGGGUGAGUAACACGUGAGUAACCUGCCCCCUUCUUCUGGAUAACCGCAUGAAAGUGUGGCUAAUACGGGAUAUUCUGGGUCUGUCGCAUGAUGGGUCUGGGAAAGAUAUUGUUUCGGUGGGGGAUGGGCUCGCGGCCUAUCAGCUUGUUGGUGGGGUGAUGGCCUACCAAGGCGGUGACGGGUAGCCGGCCUGAGAGGGUGGACGGUCACACUGGGACUGAGACACGGCCCAGACUCCUACGGGAGGCAGCAGUGGGGAAUAUUGCACAAUGGGCGCAAGCCUGAUGCAGCGACGCCGCGUGAGGGAUGGAGGCCUUCGGGUUGUAAACCUCUUUCGCCAGUGAAGCAGGCCUGCUCCUUGUGGGUGGGGUUGACGGUAGCUGGAUAAGAAGCGCCGGCUAACUACGUGCCAGCAGCCGCGGUAUUACGUAGGGCGCGAGCGUUGUCCGGAAUUAUUGGGCGUAAAGAGCUCGUAGGCGGCUGGUCGCGUCUGUCGUGAAAUCCUCUGGCUUAACUGGGGGCUUGCGGUGGGUACGGGCCGUCUUGAGUGCGGUAGGGGAGACUGGUAACUCCUGUUGUUGCGGUGGAAGCUCUGCAUAUCUGGAAUAACACCUGUGGUGAAUGCUGUGCUCUGGGCUGUUUCUACUCGUAGUGUCAUGAUGUGGUGGUGUGAACUGGAUAUGAUACUGUGGUGUGCGUGUGCGUUGUUGAGUGUGUGAAGCUGGUUGUUGUGUCUGUGAAAAAAAAUAGAGUGGAUGUGUAUGUUGUUUUUUUUUAUGUUGUUGUGAUGUUUGCCUUUGUUUUUGUGAGUAUGUGUUGUGUGUUUUAUGUUGAUUUGUGUGUGCUGUUGUGUGUAUGUCUGUUUUGUGUUUUUACUUGGCAUGUUGCGCUUGGGUGAUAUGCGUGUCCUUGUUGGUGUGGUUUAGUUGUGAUUUGUUAAUGCUAGUGUUGUUGCUGUGUACCCUGCUCUACAUGUCAGAUGUG